AUAAGAAGUGUUCAUUCAAGGAAAGCAUGAAAAUGUACAGGACAGUGGUAGGAAUUAUAGAUAACUGGCAAUUACUGGUAUAUAUCUCCAGUCUCAGCCAAACACACUCAGAGGAAAAAAAAAAAGUUAAUGUGGAAGAAAAUUUCUCAGAAUGUAGCCAGUUAAAAGGAAAGAAGUAGUCAAAAUCCAGGCUGAUUAAAUGCAAAAGAAAAAGAAAAGAAAAAAAGCUUGAGUGUUCGCCAGCAGUCUUUAAAUAUUCAGAUCAUCUUCUCUCUAUAAUGUGCACAGGUGUUCAAUGCAAGCCUGAGUGAAGAGAACAGCUGGAGCAAGUGUGAGCUCACCACAGAGAACACAGCCAGGCUGACACGGCCAACAUUUUAGUCCAGUCAACACGGUGGGAUUAGAGGACAGCAGAGGUGUUCAAUUUUAUUCUUGGACAGAACACUGAGGAACAGUGUAUCUCAGUAAGGCCAACCGAUCUUAAAUAUAAAGGACAUGUUGCCAGGAAGACAUCAACAAAGUAUCUAGGUUGACAAUCAUGACAGAAAACAAAGUCCUUGCAACACAAUUAGGUCAAAAAAGUCCAGACUAAAGAAAGCAUCAUUUCUUUAACGUGAAACCCAUAUGUUUAAGAUGCACAUCACACCUUGCGCUCUCGAAAUUCACACAGCUGGGAGAAAAGCUUUUCAGACAGCAUUUGAGCAGGAAGUUGAUAAGAGACACUUGUUCCACAGAUCUACAGCUUCAUCAGCGCCUCGGUUAUUAAGAGUGAACAUUUUUGAGUUGCUCAUAUGAACCCUCGGUACUGCAGAGAGUUUGUCUUAUCCUGGCUGCACAUGCAUGUAGAUUAGGAUGCUGACAUUAAUAGCAAGUCCUACUUGUCCUCUGGGGGCCCGUCACACAUGGCUUGAUUAACAACUUACUUUUUUUUUUUUUAUUUCUGUAGUCCUCAGGACCCACUUUUCAUACGCUGUUAUCAGAAUCGGUCAGAACAGCCCACUUUCUCACCAAAAUCAUGAGUGGCAAUGAGAAAUUUUAUAUAUGACGUCAUAAGAAAAGCUAUAACAGCUAUAGCCCCCUGUGUCCCUCCCCACAAUGCCCCUCCCCCUAAUGUCAACAUCAUCAUCUGAUUGGGCAGAAGGUGUUGAUUAAUUUUCUACGACAGCAGCUCUGACAAUAGCUCCAGCUGGACGAAUUAUACAUGGCGUCCCACAAGUCUCCAUACGUAGAGGAAAUUAACACUUUUCAGCAAAACUUUUUCAUACUUAGUUUAUAGCUGUGUCUGUGUGUAUAUAAAAUAUAUAAUCGAGAGAGAGAGAGAGAGAGAAAGAGAGCGCCUUUAAGAAUGCCUCUGACAGAAGAAGAAUGUACUGAAAUCAUUCUCAUGGCUGGCUCGGGAAGCUGUUGCAAGGUUGCGAUGGACUUUAACAUGGCAAACACAUCACACACGACACUGUUGCCAAACAAAUUCAAAAAGACUACAAGUGUUGCAGAGGUCCAUGAACAUCCACUGAUGAAGGCACAACUGAUGUUUAGUUGGAUGGAGUUGACAUUGGAUAAUACCAUGUACGAAUCAGAAUUAGCUACAACUCUUCAGUCUGCUUUAACCCUUAAAGCUGGACUAGGCUACACAGAUACUAGUCCAGGCUCUUGUUAUCUCAAAACUGGACUACUGCAACUCACUACUCUCGGGUCUUCCGGCCAGCUCUAUCAAACUCCUUCAGAUGAUUCAGAAUGCAGCAGCACGCCUCGUCUUCAAACAGCCCAAGAGAACCCAUGUCACACCCCUCUUCAUCUCGCUCCACUGGCUUCCUGUAGCCGCCCGCAUCAAAUUUAAGGCCUUGAUGCUCUCCUACAAGACCUUGUCUGGAACAGCACCCUCCUACCUCAACUCUCUCCUGAAGGCUUACGUUCCCUCACGCAAUCUGCAAUCAAUCAACGACCGACGCUUAAUAGUACCUACUCAGCGUGGCUCAAAGUCCCUUUCAAGAACAUUCAAACUAACUGUUCCUCAGUGGUGGAAUGAACUUCCAACCUCAAUCCGGACCGCAGAAUCUCUCACUAUCUUCAAAAAACAGCUAAAGACCCACCUCUUCCGUGAACACCUAACCAACCCAUCAAAAAAAUAAUAAUAAAAUUUACUCUGGCACUUACACCUCUACUCUGCGCACUUUGCUUCUUCUGGAACUCAAUUAAUGGAUCUUGUAUGGUAGCACUACUUGUAUUCUCCUCUGCUUGAUAUAUCGCUUUGCUUGUAUUUUUUCAUUUAUAAGUCGCUUUGGAUAAAAGUGACUGCUAAAUGAAUAAAUGAAUAAAUGUAAAUGUAAUUUCUAUCCUGUUCACUCAAUGUCUAUGUGUCCAACUGUUAGCAAAA